GGCUGCUCCACCACCGAGGGCGGCUCAAUGAAGCUGCAGUUCAGUGUGUUCUCCAGGUCGUGGUGAGCUACUACGACCUUGGGCAUCUUCUGGCGGCGCAGGGGGAUGCGGGGCAGCUUCAUGCUGAUGCGGCUGAAGCGCCCACACAAGCGUCUCGGAGGCUUCUUGGCUGCCACCGGGUCCUGAUUUGCUCCGUGCCCUUCAUCCUUCUUGCGGCAGACACAACAGCAGCAGAGCAGCGACAGCAGGAGGAUGAGCAGAAGCGCCAGCAGAGCUCCGGCCCCGAUCACCCCCAUCCGUUGGUUGGCUUCCAUGUGGCAGGCGCCCGUCAGUGGGUCGCAGGCACCGUCAUGGCAGCUGCAGGCUUGAGCGCAGUUGGCUCCAUAGUGGCCGGGAGGGCAGGUGAGGUUACAGUAUGUGCCAUGGGAGCCAGCGCGGCACAGGCAGCGGCCUGUCUCGAAG
rnacentral:lncRNA from 1 species